UUCAAUUGGCGAAAGAACAAGAGAGAGAGAGAGACUCUGUCGAUGGCGAUCUUCACCGACAAGACUGAAGGGGCUCCGGCGAUGGCAGUUCGAGGUCCGAUGGUGGUCCUGUCUUCCGUUCGUCUUCCAUAUGAAUACAUGGAGUUUCAACGAAUACUACUUUUGUCCUUUCUCAGCUGUGAUGAUACGCAAAGAAUCAACAAACUUGGAGCGUUCGAUGGCUGCAUUUUUGAGUUUCAAAAUCGUGUCAUCAUUGUGCUGGACUAAGCUCAUUUGCUCGCCACUCAGGUCUUUUCUCACUUAGUUGUUGAAAAUUUCAAAGAUGGAUAAACAAAAAAAUGGUAACAAAAUACUCAGGCAAAGGAGAAAUCUCCCAAAAACGUAAGAUGCAUCAAGGUUUUGAACUUAAGGUAAAUAGACUAAUAAUUACCCUUCUCUAUAACUUGGUGUCUCAACUUUCUGAUGGCUACCAUCUACAUCAGCGAUAACAUAGAAGAGUCAGAGAUGGAAAAUGUCAAAAUAGAUCAGAUUGCAACCUUAAAGUAAAAGCCACUAUCUUUUGAAGUAGUGUCACGUUUUGCAGUUAUGAUACUAGAUGUUGCAAGAGGUGAAGCAAAGGGACAGGCUCUCUGUAACCAAUUUGAAGAAAAAGAUGAUCCUAUGAAUGAAAAAGAAACAGUGUGUAAGUGUAUUAAAGUGGUUUUGGAUGCCUCAAGCUAGGAAUAACUGUACUUGAAAACAGAAUUCUCUAACCAGGUUCUCAAACCGGCUUUUUCAUCAAUAUACCAUUUUAUCA